GAGUUUGAUCCUUGCUCAGGAUGAAUGCUGGCGGCAUGCUUAACACAUGCAAGUUGAACGAUUAACAUCGUAGCGUACGGGUGAGUAAUAUGUGAGAAUCUACGUUUGGGUGAGGGAUAACUAGUGGAAACAUUUGAUAAUACCUCGUAAUGCAACGCCUAUUUUUAUUUAGGGUUGUGAAAGAUUUUUGUUGCCCAAACAUGAGCUUGCAUCUGAUUAGCUAGUUGGAAAGGUAAAGGCUUACCAAGGCUGUGAUCAGUAGUUGAUUUGAGAGGAUGAUCAACCACAUUGGAAUUGAGAUACGGAACAAACUUCUACGGAAGGCAGCAGUGAGGAAUAUUCCGCAAUGAACGAAAGUUUGACGGAGCAAUGCCGCGUGAAGGAUGACGGCCUUAGGGUCUUAAACUUCUUUUCUCUUAAAAGAAAAUAUGACGGUAUAAGAGGAAUAAACAUUGGCCAAUCUUUGUGCCAGCAGCCGCGGUAAUACAAAAAAUGUAAGCAUUAUUCGGAAUUAUUGGGCGUAAAAAGUGCGUAGGUGGUUUCUUAUGUUUAUUGUCAAAUAUUAAAGCUUAACUUUAUAAAGGCAUUAAAAACAAUUUAACUUGAGUAUGAUAGAGGCAGAGGGAAUUUCUAGUGUAGCGGUGAAAUGCGUAGAUAUUAGAAGGAACACCAUUGGCGAAAGCGCUCUGCUAGGUCAAUUACUGACACUGAGGUACGAAAUCCAGGGUAGCAAAUAGGAUUAGAUACCCUAGUAGUCCUGGAUGUAAACGAUGUAUACUAAAUGGUGUUUAUGCACUGUUAAAGCUAACGCGUUAAGUAUACUGCCUGGGGAGUACGCUUGCAAUAGUGAAACUCAAAGGAAUUGACGGGGGCCCGCACAAGCGGUGGAACAUGUGGUUUAAUUAGAUGGUACACUAAGAAUCUUACCAGGGAUUGACAUAAUAGAGAGUUUCUGAAAAGAAAUGUGCCUAACGGAAUCUAUUACAGGUGGUGCAUGGCUGUCGUCAGCUUGUGUGGUGACAUCUUGGGUUAAGUCCCGCAACUAGCGCAACCCCUUUUUUUAGUUAUAUUAUUUUUCUAAAAAUACUGCCGACGAUAAGUUGGAGGAAGGUAGGGAUGAAGUCAAGUCCUCACGCCCCUUAUGUCCUGGGCAACACGCGUGUUACAAUGCGCAAUACAAUAAGUUGCUAGUUUGUAAAAAUAAGCAAAUCUUCAAAAUUGCGCUUAGUUCGGAUUGUAGGCUGAAACUCGCCUACAUGAAGCUGGAAUCGCUAGUAAUCGCCAAUCAGCUAUAUGGCGGUGAAUACGUUCUCGGGCCUUGUACACACCGCCCGUCACACCAUGGAAGUUGGCUAUGCUUGAAGAUAUUUUCUGAACAAUUUGGUGGAUGUAUCUAAGGCCGAGUUUAUAAUUGUGGUGAAGUCGUAACAAGGUAGCCGUACUGGAAGG
rnacentral:rRNA from 1 species